UCGCGGUGCUUUCAUUCAUAAACAAACCACCAUCGCGAGUGGAUUGGUGCACGAGCGUAGUUGCACGAUCGCGGUUGGCGCGCGUGUCGUCGCUCCCGCUCCGUGGCGGGGGUGGACAAGACGUCGUCGUCGCGUGUGCGUUCUUUACGUAGCCACUGCUACUUCCGGACCGGCGGCGACGCGACAGUUUUUCCUUCCGCGAAAACGAGGAAUAACCAACAACCCCAUCAAUUACUCCGCCGCGGUUGUAUCCGAAUUACCGCGUGUGGAAUGUGCGGUGCAUGAAAAAAUAAGAAAGCAGACAUGCAGAAGAUAACGAAUCGAACAUAAACAAACGUUUCGAUUGUUGUGAAUAUAAGUGCUAGGAAGAUAAGAAUGAUAAUAAGGAUAAUGUGUUGCUAGAAUGUAAUAUUUGUAUGUCUAUACUACUAUUAUACGGUUGUUCCCGCAGUUGCUCUGGCAUGGCAGGAGCAAUUAUCGCCAAUGAUCAUUUUGAGAACCAGCAGCGGCCAGCGGAUAUACAUCGUUAAUUUGAAAAAUUUUCGGUGUUCUCCCAGACAAUGAAGCAGAAGUAAUUUUAAUCGAUUAUCUUCGCCUCCCAGAGGAACGCGGACGGCAAACUGCCUGGCAGUAGCGCGAACCAGUCGAAAACGAACGGAUCAAGAGCCCGCCAAUAGUAAAAAUGGGAAUGUUUUCUUGGACCGUGAAACUCGUUUUCGGCGGAUUUGCACUACUACGAUGGGACAAAGACACAAGUGCCACAGGAAGUCAUCGUCCCGGUUCGGUUUGCCCGGAAGGUCGUUCGGAGAAUAACCACACCACCUAUUUGUAAUUCGAGGGUCAUUCGGUUGAUCUGAGGAUUGGAAUCAACUCAUCACUUCGACACGGUGAUAUUUGUUUUGUUUCAAAUCAAUUUCUAUAAGAAAAUCAAGAAACUGUUAUAUUUUGCUAAUUUUUAUAAAACACUAAAAGUUCUAAAUUUUACAAACUUCUUCAAAAAUGUUGAGAUAUAUUCUAUUACAAUGAUUUCUUAUGUAGCAUAUUAGGUUUUGUAAAAUUUGAAAGUCUAAGAAACCAGAUCAGUCAGCUAAAUUGUAAUAAAACCUAAAAUGCUACCUAAUCAAACGUACAGGAAAUCGUUCAAAUGAUUAAGCUUAGAUUUUUCGACUUCAAGAAAAACUAUCCAUUGCAAACUCAUCAACACCACCUGAUGGAAGUCGAGAAGCGUAAGCUUAAGAGUUUGCGGUUAUACAGUGACUCCACACCGACGAAUCACCUCCAUAAUGCCCACUAUUUAUGAAUCGCCGUGUUGAUCGAACGAGUGAUUCAUAAACUGCGAACAUUUUUGUCGAUUUACAAAGUUUGGGGUCACUGUACUACCUGGCGCGUUUACUGAAUGAACGCGAGGAAAGCGUAGAUUGAAAAUCACUUUCCGGACAGUCUAUUUAUUAUGAUAAAGAAGCACAACUGAAAGUCUAGUUGAAGCGCAAAAAAUAAUGAGCAGGAACAAGGUGCAAAGGAAGCGCUUAAGUAGAGAACAAAUACGUACAAUAGGUAGUUGCUUUUCUUCUCUCCCUAAAUUAAUUCUUAUUAACGAUAAUUUAUAGAGUAAUGACGUUUUCUUUUAACCGUGAAAUCAGAUAAUGGUAGAACAUUAUUACACUGUUUAACCGGGAGUCAGCAGAAAAAACGGCGCAAAACACAAAAUGUACCGUUUGGUGAGCGACUUCACGGGUUUUGAACAACUCAGUGUUUUCCAGGAGAUGAUUGCUUUCGUUGCAUAUGAUAAAUGGCGAGGAACUUUCACAGCAUGGUACGAUAACAUUUGAUGCGAGGAUUUAACAACAAACAUCUAUCAUUGCUGCAGAAAGUGAGGAAGGAACUGAAAAAGGGAGCUAAAUGAUGCUGUUAACUGAAAUUCGAUUCAGAAUGCCUCUGUAAUUAUUAGAUUGUAACAACAGUGAAUAGUGAAACGAGAAAAGUCUUAUUAUAAAACUAGAGCAAACAAAUCAUACAGUACAUGUUUGUAGGGUAGCCACGAAGCAACCACCAUUCAUACCCCGCAUAGAGUUUAAGAGAGAUUUGAGCAUUAGAAAAUAUAAAAAAUAACAAUUUUUAUCAGCCAGCACAAUAGA